UCUCAUUUUUUCGGCUUUGAGUUCAUUUUCCAGUUCCCCUUUCUCUCUUUAAACUCAUCUCCAUUUUCUCCUUCUUGCCCUGCCUUCUCUCUAUCCUUGCACUCAUUUGAACCGUUGAAAUUUCAAAUAGGUGGUGUUCUUUCGCUCACGGAGUUGAAAGCUUCCCUUCUAUCCGAUUAGAUUUCUAUUUGGACGGGUGGUUGUAGGGCACUGUUUGGGUUUUCUCUGUGAAGGUACGGUUAAGGCACUCUAGUUGACUAUACUGCUCAACUUCAAGAAAGUAUAUGAUUACAAAGUGAUGAAAGUAUGAUCCAAGUUGUAAAUCAAGUUCCAUUUGUGUAGGAUCUCUUGGUGAGAUCCUUAGUGUAGAAUGAUUGCAUGGUAGCUCAGUCUUGGGGGUUUUCCUGACGCUCCAAUGGUCUUUUAUUCUCAAGUAGAGAGGAUUGAUCCAUGUGGUGAGGAGUAGCAGGAGGUCAUAGUCUUGGAGUCUUGGAGGCUUCCAGUAUGCUCCAGGGCGCGGAACGGAUUAACCUCGUGAGUGUGGUAGGGUGGAACCCAUUGGCAACGGCUUUGCAAAGCAGUAGAGGCCACCACGAGUGCAUAACCCGCCAUAGCUCGGCAAUCAUUCCGGUCCGGACGAGUCGAUCUAUAAAGCAAUGGGUCAUUGUGAUGUCGAUGUACUAUGUUUGAGUGACUUUUGCAUGUCGUGUGUGAUUGAAUAACAUGAUUUUUAUAUCUAGCUCACACUUGCUUGUUUGUAUUGCUUGUGUAUGUUUUCCUUUUGCGAUGAUCAUCCAUUUGAAUUAGAGCAGAUGGCAAGGAGGUUCCUUUGGAGACAGCUUUGGAAGCCGAGGACAAUGUUGCUGCCUAGUCUCCUAGAAUGUUAUUAGUUUGAUUGGCUAUUCUGAAAUACUAAUUCCCAUUUCAGCUUAUAUUUUAAAUCUCUUUGGAGUUUAAGCUUAUAUUCUGAAAUUACUCAGAGGAUGACUGUAAUCCUAUUUACUCUGAACUGCUUUCCUAUAUUAUGCAUGUGGACGUCUUUAUUAUAUAUGCUC